ACUGCAUUUAAAGUGCUCUGCUCCAGGGAGACUGGGUAACCUGCUUUACUGUCUUACUUUACCAACCUAGGUAUUUAUUGACAUAUUAAUACAAGAAUUCAAAUUUUUUGAGACUCUUGGGAAACGAUUUUUAACCCCUUUUUAAAAAGCAAGGUGGGAAUGCCACUUGAUGCGGCAACAUCAGGUGAAAGGACUUCAAGAAUUUCGAGAGACCAAUGUAAGACAGGGUCCGUGUCGGGGGUCAGAGAAUAAACUUGAAUCUGAUCGAUAAGCACUGAAUCCAGGAUCUCCAUGAAUCAAGCAUGGUUUGUUUUAUACAUAAUCCUCCGUGUUUGGGGCAGCAAGCACAGAAACUGUCACUUAGACUGGAGGCCAUGCCAGGAAUCUGCUUCACAACUUCUGAGUCAGCUCCCCUACCCGCCAUCGCUCGGUGUUCAUGACUCAGGGUAACCAAGUCUGCACUUACUCUAAUUAACUCCCCUUU